UCUCUUGUGGCAUCUUAAAGACUAACAUAUUCAUGAAUCUUACGUAGGCUCUGGUCUAUGAGAGCUCAUGCCAUAAUGAAAUUUGUUAGUCUUUAAGAUGCCACAAAUAC